rnacentral:rRNA from 1 species
AAUGAACGUUGGCGGCAUGGAUUAGGCAUGCAAGUCGGGGGAAUCCCAGCAAUGGGGGAACCGGCGUAAGGGGCAGUAAGGCAUGGGUACCUACCUUGGGGUUCGGGCUAGCCAUCAGAGAUGGUGGGUAAUACCGGAUGACGUCGUGAGACCAAAGAUUUAUCGCCCUUAGAGGGGCCCAUGUGAUAUUAGCUAGUUGGUGGGGUAACGGCCCACCCAGGCGAAGAUGUCUAGCGGGUGUGAGAGCACGACCCGCGCCACUCGCACUGAGACACUGGCGAGACACCUACGGGUGGCUGCAGUCGAGGAUCUUCGGCAAUGAGCGCAAGCUUGACCGAGCGAUGCCGCGUGAGCGAUGAAGGCCUUCGGGUUGUAAAGCUCUUUAGUGGGGGAGAAAAGCCGCAAGGUGUGAUCUAUCCCAAAAAUAAGCACGGGCUAAGUUCGUGCCAGCCGCCGCUGUAA